UUCCCCACUCAAUCGCUCCAGCAGCCAUCUUCUCUUUGUACCCCUUCCCUAAGAAAAUAAUGUGAAUGAUUCCAGUAACUUGUAUAUCAAUCAAUAAUGUUCUGGUGUCAUAGGAGAAUAAGACAUGUUGACAACAGGAACCACCUCAGCUUCUCCACCUGGAUUUGUCACUAUAGUGGUGUGGGAGGAAAUUCCUGUCGAAUAACUGAGGAGACACUGUAAGCAAAAGUACCACAGCUCAGGUCCAGAAGCAAAAAACCAGAAGAUGGUUGCGUCUCUACAUUGCCCAAGAACCCUGCCCAAUGUCAUCGUUGACAAGCCAAGUCAUGGAUUUACAUAGCUGGCUGCCUAUAUCUGUUGUCCUGUCAUUUCUCAAAAAUGUUGGAUUUAGUUUUUCGGUUGUGAAAUUUACUGGAACUUUGCUUGGUCUUCUAAUACCUAGAAACAAAGCUGUUAAUUAGCUAUGCACUUGCAGUACCUGUCUUUCACUUAUGGG